UACGGAGGGUGCGAGCGUUAAUCGGAAUCACUGGGCGUAAAGCGCGCGUAGGCGGCUUUUCAAGUCAGGGGUGAAAUCCCGCGGCCCAACCGUGGAACUGCCUUUGAAACUGUAGAGCUUGAGUGUCGGAGAGGGUGGCGGAAUUCCAGGUGUAGGAGUGAAAUCCGUAGAUAUCUGGAGGAACACCGGUGGCGAAGGCGGCUACCUGGACGACAACUGACGCUGAGGUGCGAAAGCGUGGGUAGCAAACAGG
rnacentral:rRNA from 1 species